UGAUACGUCAAUGAGAUGAUUGUAAAAUUAUAAAAACAUACAUCACAAAAUCAACAUCUCAAGUGUAAUGUUGUGAUUGUGAUGUCUCAGAGAUAUUAUAAACUAUAAUUAUAGAGAUAAUGGUUUCCGAUUUUAAAAUGAUUUAUAAAUAAACAACAUCUCAAUUCACAAUAUCGCAUUGCGAUCACAUAGAAAUCGCAUAAUAUUAUUGUAAAUAAUCUAAAAAUAGAUAAAAUAAAAUAUCUAUGAUAAUAAUAUAUAUAUGUGAUAAUGUCAAUAAUAUUAGCGUUAUUAUUAUUAUGACGUUAACCUACAAUAUAACAUUUCUGUGUACGAGAAAGUAUACAUCCAUGGAUCCAUGGAGUGUGUAUACAUAAUACAUCUUACGACUACGACGAUAUCGACGCUAUUUAUUUUCGCAUAUAACCAAGUAUUUGACGUCUGCAAGCGUAUAAAGUGUUUUAAAGUGUUAUUCGUUUUUUAAGUUCAUCAACAUGGAAGGAUCCAAAAAACAGUAGUUUAUUGGUUACUUUAAAGAAGAGUACAAGUACUCAAUGAUUCCUGUUAACUGGAUAUCAUCUGUUAUAACAAAUGGUAUUCCAGAAUAUUUGUGUAAGUGGCCUUUAAAACAAAGGGCUACAACAAUGAUGUUGAUGAAAGGAGAUAAACCAUCUGCAGAUUGGAAGUCCUACCCUGUCAAAGUUAUUGAAUGAUUCGACUCAUAUGAACAAGCUGUAAUGAAAGAAAUCCAAAUAUUUAUGUCGGAGUCAGAAAAUGAAGAAAAUUUAGGACGGGGAAUAAACUAAAACUAUCCAAAUCCCAAUUUGUUGCAUCACCAGAUAAUGUCAGCGAUAGUAGUGAUUCUUGUGAAAAUGUGACUCUAAGUAUUUAUAAAAAACCACCACAUACUAACAAUAAAAAUAAAACUACAGAACUAUACAGAAGUAACACAGCAGAAUCAAUUUCACAUUUUAUUAACAAUUAUAAUC